GUCCACAUACAUGCUAUGGCAUGUGCACUCAGGCAUGAACAUGCAUACGACAUGAGGCGGUGCACAAGCAUGUGCACACACAUUUAUGGGGGGAGGGGGAGGCAGUGAAUGAAUAUAUUUCUUUAUGAUUGAUGAUGGGCCUGUGUUUGACUUCUAUGCCUAUUUUAUGCACCUGUAAGCCCAGCGACACAAAAAUACCUUGUUUAAAUGACAUAAAUGUGUAGAGGGUGGAAACAUGUUCAAAAAGUCUUGGUUUAAGGCUCAGGGAACAUCCCUGAAGAGGAGGGUUGUCCCCAGAGAUCAGAGAGGACCCAAGUGAAACAGCAUCUUCUGCAUAUAACAGUAUGGCCACAGUCAUGAAUCCAUACAAGACCACACAGGAGCAAGCCAAUCAACAAUGUAGCACGGAUGGGAGGGGUCAUGAGCCCCCUAGCUGAGCAGCUAUUCACAGGGGUCUUCUGGGAAAUCGAGAGUCACCUUUCAACAGCGUGGCCCUGGUAAGUACUCCAAGCCUCAGUGGAUGCCUUCAUACCCUGAGGAUAUAUGAGCAGCACAAAUCCAACAGAGUAGGUUAAUUAAAAACAACAAAACACAGGACAUGAAGCUAUGAGGGGAGGUGGAGCUGGGAGGAGUUAGGAAGGAGUUGGGGGAGAAAUCACAAAAUUCAUAAAAAUAUUAUUUUUUAAAGAAGUCUUGGUUUAGACAAAGCAGCUCUUUUCCUAAGGCUGGAAGUGUGAUUUUUUUUUCUCGGCCAGCAGCAACCUGCAAUGUUCCACUCAGCGUAUUUCCUGUUGAUGUCUUUGACAUCACACUAGCCAUUGCUGUCCUGCACCACAUCAGCAUCCUCCUCAGAGAGCCAACACUGAGCACAGAAAGGACCCUGAUCUUUGUGGCUGCUGUCCUUACUACCACCUCCUCAGGACAGAAGCCAGAAUUAGAGCAGCCGCAGCAGCAGAGGAAUUCAACAGGGAGGGAGCUGCUGUGUCCCGCGGCCUCCAUCAGCUAGACACCACCCUACUCAAGACAGAGGCAUAGCGCUGAUGAACCAGAGAAUUGUCACGUAAGGGACAAGAUCCAGUGUACUCUCCGACAUGGAGGAAGAGCGUCUCUGGCCCUCCUGCCUGCUCCUGAGACUCUUCUUCCUUCUGGGUCGCCCUGUCAGCCUCGACAGGAGGGGCUUUGUCUUGUCUGACUGUAUGCAGUUUUGUCCUUUUGGUUAUUGUCUUUUGGAGGUCUGCUCUUCUGUGGAGAGAAACAGAAGGAGUGGAUCUGGGCAGAGGUGUGGGGGAGCUGGGAGGAGUGGAGGGAGAGGAAACUGUGGUCAGGGUGUGUUGUUGUAUGAGAGAAGAAUCUAUUUUCAAUAAAUAAUAACAAGUA
rnacentral:sRNA from 1 species